GGGACACGUGGUAUCCUGUCUGAAUAUGGGGGGACCAUCCUCCAAGGCUAAAUACUCCUGACUGACCGAUAGUGAACCAGUACCGUGAGGGAAAGGCGAAAAGAACCCCGGCGAGGGGAGUGAAAAAGAACCUGAAACCGUGUACGUACAAGCAGUGGGAGCCUCUUAAUGGGGUGACUGCGUACCUUUUGUAUAAUGGGUCAGCGACUUAUAUUCUGUAGCAAGGUUAACCGAAUAGGGGAGCCGAAGGGAAACCGAGUCUUAACUGGGCGUUAAGUUGCAGGGUAUAGACCCGAAACCCGGUGAUCUAGCCAUGGGCAGGUUGAAGGUUGGGUAACACUAACUGGAGGACCGAACCGACUAAUGUUGAAAAAUUAGCGGAUGACUUGUGGCUGGGGGUGAAAGGCCAAUCAAACCGGGAGAUAGCUGGUUCUCCCCGAAAGCUAUUUAGGUAGCGCCUCGUGAAUUCAUCUCCGGGGGUAGAGCACUGUUUCGGCAAGGGGGUCAUCCCGACUUACCAACCCGAUGCAAACUGCGAAUACCGGAGAAUGUUAUCACGGGAGACACACGGCGGGUGCUAACGUCCGUCGUGAAGAGGGAAACAACCCAGACCGCCAGCUAAGGUCCCAAAGUCAUGGUUAAGUGGGAAACGAUGUGGGAAGGCCCAGACAGCCAGGAUGUUGGCUUAGAAGCAGCCAUCAUUUAAAGAAAGCGUAAUAGCUCACUGGUCGAGUCGGCCUGCGCGGAAGAUGUAACGGGGCUAAACCAUGCACCGAAGCUGCGGCAGCGACACUAUGUGUUGUUGGGUAGGGGAGCGUUCUGUAAGCCUGUGAAGGUGUACUGUGAGGUAUGCUGGAGGUAUCAGAAGUGCGAAUGCUGACAUAAGUAACGAUAAAGCGGGUGAAAAGCCCGCUCGCCGGAAGACCAAGGGUUCCUGUCCAACGUUAAUCGGGGCAGGGUGAGUCGACCCCUAAGGCGAGGCCGAAAGGCGUAGUCGAUGGGAAACAGGUUAAUAUUCCUGUACUUGGUGUUACUGCGAAGGGGGGACGGAGAAGGCUAUGUUGGCCGGGCGACGGUUGUCCCGGUUUAAGCGUGUAGGCUGGUUUUCCAGGCAAAUCCGGAAAACCAAGGCUGAGGCGUGAUGACGAGGCACUACGGUGCUGAAGCAACAAAUGCCCUGCUUCCAGGAAAAGCCUCUAAGCAUCAGGUAACAUCAAAUCGUACCCCAAACCGACACAGGUGGUCAGGUAGAGAAUACCAAGGCGCUUGAGAGAACUCGGGUGAAGGAAC
rnacentral:rRNA from 1 species